CAAAGAGGAACUCCAUUAAAAUUGAGCCAAGGGAUUUGGGAGAGGGAGAAGAAGGGAGGGAGGACAGGGGAAGGAGAAGAAGAGGAGAGGGGAAGAAGAGUUGGAAAGAGGGAGGAAGGGAGGGAGGGAAGGUGUGAGGGAGGGAGAAAAUUUCCUCAUUUUUUUACAGGAAGGUUUGGCUCCUUUUAUUAAUUUGGCACUUUUUCUUACUCCUCUAGCCUCAUGUAAAUUUAACUUAAAACUUGGACAAAUCUUGGCCUAAUAACCUGGCAGAUGCUUGCAUCCCACAUGCCUUGCUGGAUAUCUUUUCCUGAGUCUUUGGGCUGUAACUCAGACACACAAAUCAAGUUUUCUAUGUACUGGAUUCCUGACAUUUUCAAAGAGACAGUGCCUAGAAAGAGUCAGUGACAGAAAAUAUGAAGAGAGGAUACAAUGAGAACACAGUGUGGAAACCUGCCCUAAGGAAGCAAGCAGAAAGGAGGAAAGCAUUUGCAGCCUGGGAAGCAAAUGGUGCUGUUAGGUAAGCAUGGGAUGAGAUGAUAUUGAAUGCUAUUGGGAACAAGACCUAGUUUAAGCCAACAGUGAACACAUUUCAAGCAAUUCUAAUCUGGCUUUUAAAAAAAAGAUAACUAAAGGGUAAUUGUUCACUUUCCUCUCUAGAAAGUACAUCUUUCCAGAAGAAACUGUGUUGACUACCUGAUCUUCAUGACAAAUAAACAUGAGUUGGUGAGUCAUUUUCGAUGUUAAAGUAAUUAGACCAAUAUAAUUGUAGUAAAGUGGGGAUUUCAUUACAGAUUCAAAGAAAAGUCUUGUUGAGAAAGAAUAACAAUUUGGAAAAUUCCUGAUCAUCAACAGAGACUAAGAAACUAAUCACAUGGGCAAUGCUAAACUAUUCUCAUUAGCAAAUGGACUUACCUCUUGGGAAGGAGGUGGUAUUAUUAACAAAUGAAAGCUUUGUUUCCAUAUGACAGGUAAUAUCAUUAAAAUGACCAUUUUUAUAAAGACCAAG
rnacentral:lncRNA from 1 species